UACAGAGGCCUCAAGCGUUAGGCGGAAUCACUGGGCUUAAAGCGUGCGCAGGCGGCUUUGCAAGACAGAUGUGAAAUCCCCGGGCUUAACCUGGGAACUGCAUUUGUGACUGCAUGGCUAGAGUGCGGCAGAGGGGGAUGGAAUUCCGCGUGUAGCAGUGAAAUGCGUAGAUAUGCGGAGGAACACCGAUGGCGAAGGCAAUCCCCUGGGCCUGCACUGACGCUCAUGCACGAAAGCGUGGGGAGCAAACAGG
rnacentral:rRNA from 1 species